rnacentral:rRNA from 1 species
UACGAGGGGGGCAAGCGUUGUUCGGAAUUAUUGGGCGUAAAGGGCGCGUAGGCGGUGCGGUAAGUCACCUGUGAAAACUCUGGGCUCAACUCAGAGCCUGCAGGCGAAACUGCCGUGCUGGAGUGUGGGAGAGGUGCGUGGAAUUCCCGGUGUAGCGGUGAAAUUCGUAGAUAUUGGGAAGAACACCGGUGGCGAAGGCGGCUCUCUGGACCGAGACUGACGCUGAGGCGCGAAAGCGUGGGGAGCAAACAGG